AGGGUGAACAAAUGGCUCAGCAGCUGAAAGGGCCAUGCUGGGAGUCAGCCGCAGGACCUUGGUGGUGGACCCAAGAAGCUGGGCUCCAUGAUCCUGGCAAGCUGGGAUCAAAUGAAAACAUCUUGACUGAGCUGAGCCGCCUUCAAACUCAGAAUUCUGGAUCAGGGUGGGUUCUCCUGCAUUUCCUGGAAAUCCUGUUCCUUUCUGGAGUGUCUUCAUAAACAUGCAGUCAGCGAUGGCUGACAUUAAGGAGGACCAGCCACACACCAGGCACCUGACCGAAGCCUGGAUAUGUUCAAUAUAAGCGGGCUGUUCUCAUUUUUCCACCCACCUCUGAUUUGCUGGGACCCCAAAUGCAAGCUCACUCCUUCUAGGGCUUGAUGCAGCAACCCAGGCUGGAAUUCUCUCCAGUCUCCACAGCAGCCCUGAGAAAGGAGGCACUGCCAUCUCUGUCUUACAGAGGAGGAAACGGGGGC
ensembl:lncRNA